rnacentral:rRNA from 1 species
UACGAAGGGGGCUAGCGUUGCUCGGAAUCACUGGGCGUAAAGGGUGCGUAGGCGGGUCUUUAAGUCAGGGGUGAAAUCCUGGAGCUCAACUCCAGAACUGCCUUUGAUACUGAAGAUCUUGAGUUCCGGGAGAGGUGAGUGGAACUGCGAGUGUAGAGGUGAAAUUCGUAGAUAUUCGCAAGAACACCAGUGGCGAAGGCGGCUCACUGGCCCGGUACGUGACGCUGAGGCACGAAAGCGUGGGGAGCAAACAGG